UACGAAGGGUGCAAGCGUUACUCGGAAUUACUGGGCGUAAAGCGUGCGUAGGUGGUGAGUUAAGUCUGUCGUGAAAUCCCUGGGCUCAACCUGGGAAUGGCAGUGGAUACUGGAAAGCUAGAGUGCGGUAGGGGAGACUGGAAUUCCUGGUGUAGCGGUGAAAUGCGCAGAUAUCAGGAGGAACACCGAUGGCGAAGGCAGGUCUCUGGGCCGAUACUGACGCUGAGGAGCGAAAGCGUGGGGAGCGAACAGG
rnacentral:rRNA from 1 species